GACGAACGCUGGCGGCGUGCUUAACACAUGCAAGUCGAACGGAAAGGCCCUGCUUUUGUGGGGUGCUCGAGUGGCGAACGGGUGAGUAACACGUGAGUAACCUGCCCUUGACUUUGGGAUAACUUCAGGAAACUGGGGCUAAUACCGGAUAGGAGCUCCUGCUGCAUGGUGGGGGUUGGAAAGUUUCGUCGGUUGGGGAUGGACUCGCGGCUUAUCAGCUUGUUGGUGGGGUAGUGGCUUACCAAGGCUUUGACGGGUAGCCGGCCUGAGAGGGUGACCGGCCACAUUGGGACUGGGAUGCGGCCCAGACUCCUACGGGAGGCAGCAGUGGGGAAUAUUGCACAAUGGGCGGAAGCCUGAUGCAGCAACGCCGCGUGCGGGAUGACGGCCUUCGGGUUGUAAACCGCUUUCGCCUGUGACGAAGCGUGAGUGACGGUAAUGGGUAAAGAAGCACCGGCUAACUACGUG
rnacentral:rRNA from 1 species